AGAGUUUGAUCCUGGCUCAGAACGAACGCUGGCGGCGUGGAUUAGGCAUGCAAGUCGAACGAGAACGCACCCUUCGGGGUGUUAGUACAGUGGCGGACGGGUGAGUAACGCGUGGGAAACCUGCCUUUGAGUGGGGGAUAACAGUUCUAACGGACUGCUAAUACCGCAUGACGCUGUUGAUCACAUGUUCAACAGUUAAAGAUGGCCUCUACAUGUAAGCUGUCGCUUAAAGAUGGUCCCGCGUCCUAUUAGCUUGUUGGUGAGGUAACGGCUCACCAAGGCAACGAUGGGUAGCCGGCCUGAGAGGGUGGCCGGCCACAUUGGGACUGAGAUACGGCCCAGACUCCUACGGGAGGCAGCAGUCGAGAAGCUUGGGCAAUGGGGGAAACCCUGACCCAGCGACGCCGCGUGGAGGAUGACGGCCUUCGGGUUGUAAACUCCUGUCAGGUGGGAAGAAAUGCCAGUCGGUUAAUACCCGACUGGAGUUGACGUACCACCAAAGAAGCCCCGCUAACU
rnacentral:rRNA from 1 species